UUUCGCAAUGCCCGAAAGGGUGACGAAGCGACGCCGCGUGCGGGAAGAAGGCCUUCGGGUUGUAAACCGCUGUCGGGAGUUAAGAAAUGUAAGGAUGUUAAUAGCAUCUUUGCUUGACUAAGGCUCCGGAGGAAGCCACGGCUAACUCUGUGCCAGCAGCCGCGGUAAUACAGAGGCGGCAAGCGUUGUUCGGAAUUAUUGGGCGUAAAGAGCACGUAGGCGGCUGUGUAAGUCGGUUGUGAAAGCCUUCCGCUCAACGGGAGAACGGCAUCCGAUACUGCAUGGCUCGAGUGCGGGAGGGGAGAGUGGAACUUCUGGUGGAGCGGUGAAAUGCGUAGAUAUCAGAAGGAACACCGGCGGCGAAGGCGACUCUCUGGCCCGUAACUGACGCUGAGUGUGCGAAAGCUAGGGGAGCAAACGGGAUUAGAUACCCCGGUAGUCCUAGCCGUAAACGAUGGGCACUAAGUAGAGGGGUUUU
rnacentral:rRNA from 1 species